rnacentral:misc_RNA from 1 species
GAUGAAGAACGUAGCGAAAUGCGAUAAGUAAUGUGAAUUGCAGAAUUCAGUGAAUCAUCGAAUCUUUGAACGCACAUUGCGCCCGUCAGUAUUCUGGCGGGCAUGCCUGUUCGAGCGUCAUUACGCCCCUCAAGUCCCCUGUGGACUUGGUGUUGGGGAUCGGCGAGGCUGGUUUUCCAGCACAGCCGUCCCUUAAAUUAAUUGGCGGUCUCGCCGUGGCCCUCCUCUGCGCAGUAGUAAAACACUCGCAACAGGAGCCCGGCGCGGUCCACUGCCGUAAAACCCCCCAACUUUUUAUAGUUGACCUCGAAUCAGGUAGGACUACCCGCUGAACUUAAGCAUAUCAAUAACGGAUGA